UACGGUUGCAAAGCUGAAACUUAAAGGAAUUGACGGAAGGGCACCACCAGGAGUGGAGCCUGUGGCUUAAUUUGACUCAACACGGGAAACCUCACCCGGUCCGGACACUGGAAGGAUUGACAGACUAAAGCUCUUUCUUGAUUCAGUGGGUGGUGGUGCAUGGCCGUUCUUAGUUGGUGGAGUGAUUUGUCUGGUUAAUUCCGAUAACGAACGAGACUCUCGCCUGCUAAAUAGUUUUCCAUACGUUACUUUAUGGAACCUAAAACUUCUUAGAGGUACAAGUGGCGUUUAGCCACACGAAACAGAGCAAUAACAGGUCUGUGAUGCCCUUAGAUGUCCGGGGCCGCACAUGUGCUACAAUGAAUGCAUCAACGUGUAUCAGCCUCGCCCGAAAGGGUUGGGGAAUCCGCUGAACGGCAUUCUCAGUAGGGAUUGGGGAUUGCAAUUAUUUCCCAUGAACACGGAAUUCCCAGUAGGCGCCAGUCAUCAGCUGGCGUCGAUUGAGUCCCUGCCCUUUGUACACACCGCCCGUCGCUACUACCGAUCGCUCUUGUUAAUGAGCUUGUCGGAUUGGACCCGGUGAGCAGUCGUUGCGCUUCAUCUCCUCGCGGGGUGGGCCUUAGAUACGUACUACUCUGUGCGGUGGAUCACUCGGCUCGUGUGUCGAUGAAGAGCGCAGCUAGCUGCGAGAAGUAAUGUGAAUUGCAGAACCACAUUGAAACAUCGACAUCUUGAACGCACAUGGCGGCCUCCGGGUUACUCCGGAGGCCACGUCUGUCUGAGAGUCGGAAUUGUAGUGCUUUAAAAAUCGGCGGUCACCACCAAAAUACAUGUCGUAUACAAUAGAUACGAUAGGUGGAUGUCCGCGAGGGUUGCUUCUCGGUAGAAAGAUACAUACAAAAAGUAAAAGAGAAGCCGCCGAGUGGCGAGUUGUUGAAAGUAGCCCAGCGAAACAACGGAACAAACCCUCGGAAUAAGAAAGAAAAAGACGUGCUGUACGAAAAAGUGCAACG
rnacentral:rRNA from 1 species